rnacentral:sRNA from 1 species
UUUCAAAUUUUGAACAGGAGCAUGCUGAAGAGUGUGUUGUUUAAUUUCUAUGUAUUUGUACAUUUUUUUUCUCUAUCUUAUACUGCCGAGACCAGCUCAGUCGGGGAGACCCUAACCCAACGGUGCUAGAGGAAUUAAAGACACACACACACAGAAAUAUAGAGGUGUGAAGUGGGAAAUCAGAAAAGGUUUGGAGCUGAGAGCCCCGAACAGAGAUUUACCCACAUAUUUAUUAACAGCAAGCCAGUCAUUAGCAUUGUUUCUAUAAAAGAUUAACUAAAAGUAUCCCUUAUGGGAAAUGGAGGGAUGGGCCAAAAUAAAGGGAUGGGUUGGGCUAGUUAUCUGCAGCAGGAGCAUGUCCUUAAGGCACAGAUGGCUCAUGCUGUUGUUUAUGGUUUAAGAAUGCCUUUAAGUGGUCUUCCACCCUGGGUGGGCCAGGUAUUCCUUGCCCUCAUUCCGGUAAACCGACAGCCUUCCAGCAUGGGUGGUAUGGCCAUCAUGAACAUGUCACAGUGCUGCAGAGAUUUAGUUUAUGGCCAGUUUUGGGGCCAGUUUAUGGCCAGAUUUUGGGGGGCCUGUUCCCAACAUGUCUCUCUUCUUUGAUUUGCAAAUCAGUAAAGGCAAAGGCAGCUUUGUCACGGUGAGCUACGUCUCGCAGGAGUCAGGAUCCACAUCUGCAGACUAUCAGCACAGAUUAAAAGCACAAUCAUCUUUGAAAUCACAGAACUUCCAAGUGUUUUUAUCCAUUUUAAUGGGUUACUAGCUGCUAAUCUGUCUGCAGCUCCAUUAAGCACUCCAGUUCUUGGCAUUAACAUCAGGUGUGCUUGGGAUGCUUUAAAUAUUUUAAUUUUGCAAUAUCCAAAAACAAGUUUGUAGAGUGUCUUUCUAGAUGCUUUUUUAUUCUUUCCCAAAUUUUGAUCUUAUUAAGAACUAUUAAUAGUUUCCACAAAUCCUUGUGUUUAGCUCCUACAGCAGGCCUUAUCAUUUGAGGUUGAGGUGCGACUAUACUGCCAUGGUUCCAGAUAAUAGAACUCUUGCCAUACUUCUUAUCAUUUCUAUCAUCUGACCAUUUUGUUCAGAUCAGCUGAACACAGUGUGGCUGUGGCACACAGACUGAGAGGUGCAAUUUAAGCUAAACAUCCCCUUAGAAGACCAGAUAAUAAUGAUUCCAUAGGAAUCAUUGUGCAGCACCUCUGCCUGUCCUGCAAUGCAAUCUUUCUAAAGAAGUACGUUCAUUUUUUCUGGCCAGGUACUAUUUUGUUUACAAAUAGGUUUUUGAGGGCGGUAUGCCUCAAUUAUAGGAGCAGAUUUAUUAUGGUAAAUACUGAGAUAAGAAAGCAUGUGUAACUGUGUCAUAGAGUGAUUACAUCCAGGCAUUAUUACUAGCCAAGAUAGAUAAAUAUGCCCAAUAAGUAUAAUUGUUCUCUGUGUCAGCCCUUGUUGAAGGAAUACUCAUGGCAAUGGUGAUAACUGCUAUCAUAGCUACCGUUAAAUUGCUCAUUGUGACUGGUUGUCCCACUUUCUUCAGGUUUUCUUCCGCCAUCUGUGACAGCUUCUUGAUCUGUCCCAAGGUGGGUGGCUGUGUUCGACGUGUGUUGCUUGUGAUGCUUGGGGUUGUCCUCAGCAUCAAUCUUGACAUGGCUGCAACGAGGGGGUCCUCGGGAUCCUCCCAGAAUCUCUUCCUCAGCAUCUGGCUCAUGAUAAAGUUUCAGGUGUCUUGAUGGUAUCCAAAUCAGCUGUUGAUUUUGGCCUGGAGGAACACAAGCAUAAUCUCUACCCCAAGUUAUUUUACCCAUUUGCCAACUUUUUGUUAUUGGAUCUCUCCACCAAAUCAGUUGUUCUGCUUCUCUCUUUGCAGCUGGUUUCUGUACAUGCUGUUCAGCUGCUGAUAACAUCUGGCCUUUGGGCGAGCUCAAAAAAUUUAAAGUUAAUAAUGCUAGAUUCAGGAGCAUCUGUGGGGUUACAUAUUGUCUAUUUCCCCCCCUCUCCUUCUGCAACUGCUGUUUUAGGGAGAGAUUCAUUCUUUCCACUAUGGCUUGUCCUUGAGAAUUGUAUGGGAUACCGGUAAUGUGUUUAAUAUUCCACACAGAGAAAAAUGUAGCUAGAGCUUGGCUAGUAUAGCCUGGGGCAUUAUCUGUUUUAAUAGAAGCUGGAAUGCCCACCACCACAAAACACUGCAAAAGGUGAUGUUUAACUAACACAGGCAGAAGACUCUCCUGAUUGGCAUGUAGCCCAGACAAAGUAAGAAAAGGUGUCCACACAUACAUGUAUAUAAGCUAGUCUCCCAAAUGAGGGAACAUGUGUGACAUCCAUUUGCCAAAUAGAGUUAGGUUCCAAUCCUCGAGGAUUAACCCCUCCUGUAAAAUAUGAGGAAUGUACCAUUUGGCAAGUUGGGCAUUGCUGGAUAAUAGCUUUAGCUUCUUUCCAGGUAAUGCUGUAUCUGCAUUUGAGACUAGGGGCAUUAACAUGGGUUAAAUUGUGAAAGUGUCUAGCAUUAGAUAUUGCGUUAGCAACUAGGCAAUUGGCCAUUUGAUUCCCUUCAGUCAAAGGUCCUGGAAGAGGUGUAUGAGCGAGCCCUAAUGUGAGUGAUGUAAAAAGGAUGCAUUGUACUCCUGCUAUUUGCAAUUGGGUAAAUAAAGUCAUCAGUUGUUCAUCUGU